rnacentral:rRNA from 1 species
CUCGAUGGAUAACAGGUUGAAAUUCCUGUACUAUCCUGUAACAGAACUGUGGGGACACAGGCAGAGAGCGUGAGCCGGGAAUGGAAAGACCGGUACAAGCGAGGUAGGAGAAGAGUUGGCAAAUCCGCUCUUUAAUCUGAAGACGUGAUGUGGACUGAAAAUAAGUAGGGAAGCACGUGAGCUGACUGUCAAGAAAAGCCGCUAUUGUUUGCAGGAUACCCGUACCGUAAACCAACACAGGUGGAUGAGGAGAGAAUCCUAAGGCCGACGGGAGAAGCAUUGUUAAGGAACUCGGCAAAAUGACUCCGUAACUUCGGGAGAAGGAGUGCCAGUAAGAUGGCCGCAGAGAAUUGGCCCAAGCAACUGUUUAGCAAAAACACAGGUCUAUGCAAAACCGAAAGGUGAGGUAUAUGGGCUGACGCCUGCCCGGUGCUGGAAGGUUAAGGGGAGAGGUUAGCGCAAGCGAAGCUUUGAACUUAAGCCCCAGUAAACGGCGGCCGUAACUAUAACGGUCCUAAGGUAGCGAAAUUCCUCGUCGGGUAAGUUCCGACCCGCACGAAAGGCGUAAUGAUUUGGGCACUGUCUCAACAAUGCACCCGGUGAAAUUGAAAUACCAGUGAAGAUGCUGGUUACCUGCGCCAGGACGGAAAGACCCCAUGGAGCUUUACUCCAGCUUGAUACUGGGAUUCGGUAUUGCAUGUACAGGAUAGGUGGGAGGCUAGGAAAUGGUAACGCCAGUUGCCAUGGAGCCAAUGUUGGGAUACCACCCUUGCAGUACUGGGUUUCUAACCAGCAGCCGUGAUCCGGCUGGGGGACAAUGUCAGGUGGGGAGUUUGACUGGGGCGGUCGCCUCCGAAAGGGUAUCGGAGGCGCUCAAAGGUUCCCUCAGAAUGGUUGGAAACCAUUCGAAGAGUGCAAAGGCAGAAGGGAGCUUGACUGCGACACCGACGGGUGGAGCAGUUACGAAAGUAGGACUUAGUGAUCCGGUGGUAUAAAGUGGGAUUGCCAUCGCUCAACGGAUAAAAGCUACCCUGGGAUAACAGGCUUAUCACUCCCAAGAGUUCACAUCGACGGAGUGGUUUGGCACCUCGAUGUCGGCUCAUCGCAUCCUGGGGCUGAAGUAGGUCCCAAGGGUUGGGCUGUUCGCCCAUUAAAGCGGUACGCGAGCUGGGUUCAGAACGUCGUGAGACAGUUCGGUCCCUAUCCGGCGUGGGCGUAAGAUAUUUGAGAGGAGCUGUCCUUAGUACGAGAGGACCGGGAUGGACUGGCCGCUGGUGUAUCUGUUGUCUUACCAAAGGCAUAGCAGAGUAGCCAAGCCGGGAAGGGAUAAACGCUGAAGGCAUCUAAGCGUGAAGCCCCCCUCAAGAUGAGAUAUCUCAUAACGUCAAGUUAGUAAGACCCCUUGAAGACGACGAGGUAGAUAGGGCAGAGGUGGAAGUUGGUAACACAUGGAGCUGACUGUUACUAAUAGGUCGAGGGCAUAACC